rnacentral:lncRNA from 1 species
UGGGAGCCCAGGCAGAGGAGGUGCCAAGAGCAAGCGAGGGCUCUGAGGACUGCCAGCACGCUGUCACCUGUCAUUAUCAACAACUUGACUAAAAUACCUCUGUGUUUGGCAGAAGAGGAAGCCAGAGAAAUUAGAAACAAGAGAAACAUUUGAUGCAUUAUUGCUGACUUGAAGAUGGAGAGAGGUUCCCCUGAGCAUACAGGAGUACUCCAUGAAGACUGCAAUGGCUUCCCUCUCACAAACUGCAUGCACGUCCAGCAGCUCCUGGAGUGUGUCUGUGGGGAAUCUCACUUGCUGGGCCAUCUGCUGGCUGUAGUGGUUGGCUGCCCUCUGCACGGCUGCUGAGUUCUCACACUGGGCCAGAACUGCCAUUGCAUUCUCCAGACAAGGAGUCGCUCCACUGUUGAUGGCAUCCAGGUAGGUCUCCACCAGCAUCCCCAGCCCUGAAUGAUUUAGGAAAUUUAGGGAAUAGAUAGAAAGUUUUCACUCAUUGUUUUACGAGUGGUAUGUAUCAGCAUUCUAAAAAUCAGAAAAAAUUCCAUUUAACAUGAAUUUUCCCUCCUUCUCCUUCUUUCAAUUCUACUAUUACUACUACUACUUUUUAUGGAGUCACUUUCCUACGAUAACAUGACUGUUGUUCCUAUUUAUUCUUUCUAUUUUGUUCUCCAGCUCAUCACAUUACAAAGUUAAUUACUAAUCACAAACAAUAUGUAGCAAGGGUUUCUUGAAAAAAAAAAACUUUUCUGCUUAAGUAAAAAUUUAAAAGCGUUUAUUCAGCAAAGUAAAUUAUAUCAUUUGUGGAUCAUAAUUCUGAAUGUAAAUGCAGGUGCUUUUAUAAAAACACUUAAGACAGUGCCAGAACAUCAAACCCUGUGAGAAGCUCUUUUCUAUACAGAGCACUAAAAGACUGCACAGGUAACAUGUUCAUGAAGCCAGCUUUGUUUAUAAGAUUACGCUGAAUUUUGUAUCUCAAAAUCUCAAUAGGCUUGCAGAAACUCAUGACAUGCUACUUACUUUCUGUUUUGUGUAAAUUCACAAUACAGCUUUUAUACCCUCACUGAGAAAAAAUCCUUCACUUAUCCCACACCUCAUAACACAGAUGUUAUCUCCUUACCAGUUGUUCGUGCUCAUAAGCUUAGUUUACUAGUUUUUGAGAUACAGUAGGCCUCAGUAAACACCCAUAUAGGGAAAUAGACUCACGGUUUCCAGUGACAAGGAUUCCCUCUCUCAGGGUCUUGGUCUUUGCAUGGGUGAAGAUAUAAGAACAGAAAUUUUCUGAUUGCAUCUGGAAAUUACUAUCCAGUUGGUCUUCUCGUACUUCUUCAACAUGGAGUAAGAGUUUUUUGUCAUUUAUUGGCCGGUCAAAGACAAAGCACUUCUGUUUUGGAAAGAAAUGCCUGAUCCACUCCCUGGGCUUGUUAGAAUUUUGGAUUUGGGGAUUCUUGCCUGCAGAAUUAGUGAAAAAGUGACUACUGAAGAACAGGUUUUAAGUGAGCCUGAAGAUUUUCAUUUCCAAAGUUCCUUCCAUCAAUCACUACAGUCUCUUGUGUCUGUGAAUCUACUCUAUGUAAUCAAACCUCUCAUGCAACCAAACUUAUGCUAAUCUACUUAAGGUAUGAAAAGUCAAUUUCUGCACAAAGCAGAGUCAAAAAGGUACUUCUGGAAAUGAAGGGAAUGCAUCCACCUCAAGUGAAGGAAUUUGUGGUUGGUUUCCUCAGCCACUGUAUGAUGUCCCGUAGACUGACGAUUUUUAAAAUGUUUGUUGAAUUAUGAUUAACUAAAAUAUGAUAAGAAGUACUUUCUUUAAAAAUUGUAUAUAUUUAAGGCGUUAUAACAUGAUGUUUCGAUAUACAUGUACAUAGUGAAAUUACUACUAAGUAAGCAAAUUAUAUAUCCAAUACUUUCUAUACUUUUCUUCCCUUUUUUUGUGGUAAGAGUACCUAAAAUCUAAUCUCUGUAAAUUUUAAAUGUAAAAUACAAUAUUGUUAAGGAUAGUUCUCCUGCAGUAUAUUAGAGCCCUAGACUUUCCCACCCUAUAUAACUUCAAGUUUGUACCCUUCACCCACAUGUCCUCAUUUCCUCCCUCACCAUGCCCUGGUAACCACUGUUCUACUCUCUGUUUCUAUGUAUUUGACGUUUUGAAAUAGAAUCCAUAUAGAAAUGAGGUCCUGUCAUAUUUUUCUUCCUGUUUCUGGCUAAUAUUACAUAGCAUCAUGGACUUUCUCAAUCUUACUGUCCCCAUGUCAGAAAUGAAAUGUUGGGCUUAAAAUUUAAAUGCUAGAAACAAGGACAAGAUGUGGCUGGGAAAAAUGUUUGAAAGAGACGGAAAAUACUCAGGUCAGAUUAUAUUAGGUCUAACAUUGUCUUGCAGAGGGAUUCUGUGACAUAUAUCAGUUAUUCAAAACAAAUAUUUGUUGAAAGGAUGAACAAAUGAACAAAGAUGGAUAUUGAUUGUAGGUGCCAACAGGUAUCCACUCCACUAAAUAUAAUCUGUUUAACAAAUGUAUAAUAGAUUGACAACAUAUUAUAUGAGACUGUAGAAUGAAGUAGGUGAUGUUAUGAAAAUGGUAAAAUAAAGGAUUUGACAGUCCUACUGGAA